rnacentral:rRNA from 1 species
GAAAACAGAUUGCUAUUCCUGUACCCCCUAGUAUCGUUUUCAUCGAUGGGUGGACGCAGUAGGAUAUGC